rnacentral:rRNA from 1 species
GACAGAGGGUGCAAACGUUGCUCGGAAUUACUGGGCGUAAAGCGUGCGUAGGCGGUUCGUUAAGUGCGUCGUGAAAGCCCCGGGCUCAACCUGGGAAUGGCGAUGGAAACUGGCGGGCUGGAGUAUGGCAGAGGGGGGUGGAAUUCCGCGUGUAGCAGUGAAAUGCGUAGAGAUGCGGAGGAACACCGAUGGCGAAGGCAGCCCCCUGGGCCAAUACUGACGCUCAGGCACGAAAGCGUGGGGAGCAAACAGG